CAUAUGCUUGUCUCAAAGAUUAAGCCAUGCAUGUCUAAGCACAAGCCUUAAAAAUGGUGAAGCCGCGAAUGGCUCGGUAUAACAGCUAUGGUUUAUUAGAUUUUUGUCUAAUACUUGGAUAACUGUGGUAAUUCUAGAGCUAAUACAUGCGUGAAAGCUCAAACCUUACGGAAUGAGCGCAUUUAUUAGAUCAAAACCAAUCGGACUUUUGUUCGUGUUUUGGUGACUCUGAAUAACUCAGUGGAUCGCACAGUCUCGCACUGGCGACGUAUCUUUCAAAUGUCUGCCUUAUCAACUUUCGAUGGUAGGUUAUACGCCUACCAUGGUUAUAACGGGUAACGGAGAAUAAGGGUUCGACUCCGGAGAGGGAGCCUGAGAAACGGCUACCACAUCCAAGGAAGGCAGCAGGCGCGCAAAUUACCCAAUCCCGGUACGGGGAGGUAGUGACGAAAAAUAACGAGAUAGUCCACUUUGUGGCCUGUCAUCGGAAUGGGUACAAUUUAAAUCCUUUAACGAGGAUCUAUUAGAGGGCAAGUCUGGUGCCNGCAGCCGCGGUAAUUCCAGCUCUAAUAGCGUAUAUUAAAGUUUGUUGUGGUUAAACGCCCGUAGUUGAUUUUUCGAUCUGGAUGUUGGUGGCACUUUUGUGUUCAACUGACUAUUUGGGUCUGAAUUUGAGUUUUCUAUCGAUGCUCUUAAUUGGGUGUUGUUAGUGACUUGAACGUUUACUUUGAAAAAAUUAGAGUGCUUAAAGCAAGCUUUUCGCUUGAAUAGAGUGCAUGGGAUAAUKGAAUAGGACUUUAGUCUUAUUUUGUUGGUUUUAGAGAUUGAAGUAAUGAUUAAGAGGAACAGACGGGGGCAUUCGUAUUGUUGCGUUAGAGGUGAAAUUCUUGGAUCGCAGCAAGACGAACAACUGCGAAAGCAUUUGCCAAGAAUGUUUUCAUUAAUCAAGGACGAAAGUUAGAGGUUCGAAGGCGAUCAGAUACCGCCCUAGUUCUAACCGUAAACGAUGCCAACUAGCCAUUCGCCGCGGUUAAUUAUAUGACUCGGCGGGCAGCUUCCGGGAAACCAAAGUUUUCUGGUUCCGGGGGAAGUAUGGUUGCAAAGCUUAAACUUAAAGGAAUUGACGGAAGGGCACCACCAGGAGUGGAGCCUGCGGCUUAAUUUGACUCAACACGGGAAAUCUCACCCGGCCAAGACACAGUUAGGAUUGACAGAUUGAUAGCUCUUUCUCGAUUUUGUGGGUGGUGGUGCAUGGCCGUUCUUAGUUGGUGGAGCGAUUUGUCUGGUUAAUUCCGAUAACGAACGAGACUCUAGCCUAUUAAAUAGACGCGAUAUUUGUUUGUGUAGCGUUCUUCUUAGAGGGACAAGCAGCGCAUAGCUGCACGAGAUUGAGCAAUAACAGGUCUGUGAUGCCCUUAGAUGUCCGGGGCUGCACGCGCGCUACAAUGAAGGUAGCAAAGUGCUUGGCAUCCUAGUCUGGAAAGACAUGGUAAACACGAAUUAUUUUCGUGCUUGGGAUAGGGAAUUGAAAUUAUUUCCCUUGAACGAGGAAUUUCUAGUAAGUGUGAGUCAUAAGCUCACGUUGAUUACGUCCCUGCCCUUUGUACACACCGCCCGUCGCUACUACCGAUUGAAGCAUUCGUUGAAGACGAGGGAUUCGGUCCACGGAGGCCUAAAAACCGCCAUGUGAUUGGAAAAC
rnacentral:rRNA from 1 species